UUUGGUAAUGACGGUACUUGAAGAAUAAGCACCGGGUAAGUACGUGCCAGCAGCCGCGGUAAUACGUAGGGUGCAAGCGUUAAUCGGAAUUACUGGGCGUAAAGCGUGCGCAGGCGGUUUUGUAAGUCUGAUGUGAAAUCCCCGGGCUCAACCUGGGAAUUGCAUUGGAGGCUGCAAGGCUAGAAUCUGGCAGAGGGGGGUAGAAUUCCACGUGUAGCAGUGAAAUGCGUAGAUAUGUGGAGGAACACCGAUGGCGAAGGCAGCCCCCUGGGUCAAGAUUGACGCUCAUGCACGAAAGCGUGGGGAGCAAACAGGAUUAGAUACCCUGGUAGUCCACGCCCUAAACGAUGUCUACUAGUUGUCGGGUCUUAAUUGACUUGGUAACGCAGCUAACGCGUGAAGUAGACCGCCUGGGGAGUACGGUCGCAAGAUUAAAACUCAAAGGAAUUGACG
rnacentral:rRNA from 1 species